rnacentral:rRNA from 1 species
CAGCAGCCACGGGAACACGAAGGGGGCUAGCGUUGCUCGGAAUCACUGGGCGUAAAGGGUGCGUAGGCGGGUUUUUAAGUCAGAGGUGAAAUCCUGGAGCUCAACUCCAGAACUGCCUUUGAUACUGAAAGUCUUGAGUAUGGGAGAGGUGAGUGGAACUGCGAGUGUAGAGGUGAAAUUCGUAGAUAUUCGCAAGAACACCAGUGGCGAAGGCGGCUCACUGGCCCAUAACUGACGCUGAGGCACGAAAGCGUGGGGAGCAAACAGGAUUAGAUACCCCAGUAGUCCCUGUCUCUUAUAC